rnacentral:lncRNA from 1 species
GCACGGAGCAAGGGGCACUCUCACAGACGAAUGUCUACUUGCUUCGCUGGGUUGAGCAUCGUCGCAAGCCUCGGCACCCCCAAGCCGUCCUCCGCCUCCGCACGCCCCAGGCUCAUCAGGAACGCGCCCGUCUUCGCCGCCGCCACCGCCGUCGUGGUACGUACGUGCAUGCAUCGAUCAAUAAUGCAUGGGCAUGGGCUCACUACUGUACCGCACUGCACCGACCACAUUGUACAUGCAUGCAUGUCUAUCCACUUUCUCUUUUCAGUGACCAUGAGCCUGAGCUGUGUAACUAACAAGUUGGCACGUGUCCAUGUCCUUGCUAUUAUCGGCACGUCACACGGCUCUUCACGAAAUGCACUACUGCAAAAAGCAAAAGCCUCCCUUGUCCCUUCCCACAAUCUCGGAGGUUGGUAGCGUACAGACCAGGACUUUCUGAAACGAAACAGAAUCCAAGUGCCACGCGAGUGUGCAAAACGGACCACACGGUCAACUAAUGAUGCACCUUGCAUUGCCACCUUUGGUUAAUUCUUCAAGCUCAAACCACACUUUUCCUGCUACAGAAACAUACGUGUGCCAUUGCCCUCAAUAACAAUAGAUUUUUUCCUUAAAAAAUAAACGUUCGUGUCUUUUCCUAAGAGCAUGGAGGCGCCGCACUGUUCCGUUGUACCAAGAGCCAAUAACAAGGCCCAGUCUGCAAAUGCGGCACGCCAUAACCCAUAACCUCAUGUUCUACCCCUCCGUUUCUAUUUAUAAGGCAUGACAUAACUUAGCACAGUCUUCCAAAUUACACUUUGACCAUUCAUUUAUCUUAUAUCAUAUUAUUUAUGGUUAUAAACUUAUGAUCAUUGUAAAGUUUAUUUAAUUACGCAUCCAACCAUAUAAAUUUUAUAUUAUAAAAAUAAAAAAUUGGUAGUUAAAUUGCUAGUUAAAGGUUGUAAAGUUUGAAUCUAGAUAUGUGCAUGCCCCUUACACAUAAAAUUUCAUUUCAACCAAUCAUUGCAUAGUAGUAUAUACCAGGUCAUACUUUUUCUCCUGCUAAUCUAAUCAUUUCCCCGUCCACCAGUAGCAACAUCAACAUGCAUGUCAACCACUGCACCCCGCAAUAGAAUAGUCGGGAAGGGAGGGGGUUUCCAAAGAGGUGGCCAAUGAUGGUGCUAGUUUAAAGGCCACAGCUAGAUAGAUGCUUUGGAAAGAAUAUAUAUAAUUCCCCAAAAGUCUCAAGUUUCAGGGAAGAAAGAUGCAAGUACACUUGCUUAGGCGUGUAAUGGGUGGCCUUUUCCCUAAACAAAGCGAUAAGGUGGGGAGUAGGGUCGUCAGUGGACUCGUUGCAUGAUGAUAGCAACUCCACACAAAACAGUUAAACAGAAGAUGUGGAGAGCUAGCCCCCAUCCGUCUUUUGGCUUUUCAGUUCCGUUUUGAACCAUCACGCAUCAAGAAAUCCAAUAACCGACCAUCUAUCAAUUUAAGCUUUAUAGUGCGCGUCAACGUUAGCUUUUUCUCUUUAGUAACGCCCAUGAUUUCCCGCGUUGCUUUUGCUCACUGUUGAGUUUUUUGCAGACAGAGCAACGAACUACCCACCAAGAGAUUCCUUGCAACUUCACAAAAGAAAAAAAAAAUCUUCCUUUUCAUCAGUAUCUGGGAGGGGGGAAAGAACUUUGCUACGUAUUGAACCGGUGGAAAAAAAAAGGUUACAGUUCUCUGUGGUAAACUGGCAGUACUUAGUACUAGUAGUAACCAAGUUUGUUAGCGCUAGGCAGUAGGAGGAGCCCAGAUUUUCGUUGCCUUCACCUCAUCACGCUGAUGCGAGGCGCACGGCUUGACACCGAUCGCACCAUGACUCGGGUGGUGCAUGCAGUCCAAACCUGUCGUAGGCUAUAGCGGCUGCCAUUAGAUAUGCACUAGAUACACGCGAAAAGGAAAUAGUAGAAUAGCUAGCCCCAAAGGGAACCUCAUCCCUUCGAUGGUUGAGCAAGCAACCGUUGCAUGUGGAGUAUAUUUAAAAGUUCACGAUUAGUGCUAGUGGUUCCUCAUUAGUAGACCGUCAUGAUGAUCGAUGAGUAAGCACGGCAGCCUAACAUACCGGAUUAGGAGGGCGCAUCAGGGGGACAAGGUCUCGAUGAGCUGAGCUCGACUGCAAGAUCAGUCUCCAAUAAUUUAGGAGCUGGUCCGUGGUCCGGGCGGUUGGCACUGGUGAAGGGAGUAAUUUAGGCGAGCCGAUAAGGAAGAUUCGGUCCCCAAGGCCGUGCCAUUGGUGCCCCGUCGUCCGGCGAUGCGACGAGCUAAAACGACCUCUUCUCUGAGAGUGAUUACCCCAUGGGGAAGUAGAGUAGCAGCCCCGUAGGCAGGCAGAUGGCAGUCUGGCAGAUCUGGGUGAGUGGGCAUCGAGAUUCCUUGGUUGUGGGAAACAACCCCUGGGGAAACGUUUUCUCGAUCGGGGUGUGGGGGAGGCAGCAAAAAGGAAAGGUUCCCGCAGCCAGCAACCUGGCCGUGGCCGGCGCCACUUGUGCUUUCGCUCUCCGUACCCGCAGCUGUGCCUCCCAUCGCAGAGCGUCAUCUGCCCAGUAGCAUAUGGUCAACUGGUCCCUCCAGCCUUGGCCUCAGCAGAUGACGAGUGCCCGUUUACCUCUUGAGCUCCUGGCCGAACUUUUCAGUCCGAAUGACUCUUGGGGUUGCCUGACCUUUUUCGUACACCAAUAAACAUUUUUUCUUCUAGAGCACCUGAUUUCAUCGGCUCAACUCAAAAGCAGAGUUGAGCACACGCGUCCGCGUCACAUACAGAUCACGGGCGCCUAAGAAUUAAUUCAACGACAAAAAGGGGAUAAGGCUGUUGCCGUUCCGUCCACAGAAGCCGCACUCACUCCCCCAUUACCAUUACUACUGCUGAUUUUUCUCCUGCACGCUCUCGCUCACGCUAUUAUUGCACGUGUCAUGUUGCUAGUAAGCCGACGAACGAGAAGCUCAUCAAAAAGUCAGACGAGAGAGAGGCGAGGAGUAGUAGCAUCCAAGCCGGCCGGCCAUAGGAAGAGGAGAAGAUGAGCGGGUGCCUUUGCCUCCCUAAAAAGAAGGAGGGGGUCUCCGCAGCGAAGCAGUCCAUAAAUUCCCCCGCCUCGUCACUCCUCCAGAACCAGAAGCCCACCCAACCUCCACCUCCUCCUUCCAAGAAGGUCCGUUCCCCUCCUCCCUUCUCCGUCCUUCCUCCUGCAGUAAUCCCCAUCCAUCCGUCACUCUUCUUUUUCCUCUCUUGCCCCCAUCGCUCAGUAGCACAGCGGCUGCAGCUGCCCUUUUCUUCACCCCCUUUGUGCUGCUGCAAAGCAGAUCCCUGCAUGGCUGCAUCCCUAUCCCCAUUUUAGAUCACCUUUGCGCAUGCUCCCUUGUGGUCUGUGCGCAAGGAGGCCAGAAAAUUUCUUCUUGUCCCUGUCCCUCUCCCUCUCUCCCUCUCUCUCUCUCUCUCUCGAACUGCAUCACCAGCAUACAGGGUAGUGCCUUGGUGGGGAUGGCUAACUGACGAUUUGUGUCUGAUCUUUGGUUGCAGGGCAUGGACGCCGUCGAGCGCUUGAAGAGCGGGUUUGACAAGUUCAAGACCGAUGUCUAUGAGUAAGUCACCAUCAAUUGCCCCGCGUUCGAUUUCAGUUUCAUGGCGCUUGAUUUGCUUCGAGAAUUUUGGGACCUCCCACUGACGACCCUGCUUUGCCCCCCGUGGAAUUUCCUCCUCGCAGCAAGAAGCCGGAGCUGUUCGAGCCGCUCAAGGAGGGCCAGGCACCCAGGGUAUGUGCUUCCUUCUCCGCCCUAUCUCAUCACCCUUGUAGACUGCUAAGAUUUUUGUCUGGAGCGGCUCCGGCCGGCUGGAAUCCUCGUCAGAAAUCAUGGAAAGCUUAAUUUAGCCAAACCGCGUUCAGUAACUUGGGUUCCCGUGGGGUCCGGGCAACGCCUGGUUGGCUGGCCCACAGAUUUGGUAGUACCUAGUACGUCCUGGUUGCCCAGGCGUCCAGUUAGAAGCAAGCUCUGAACAGUGUCGCUGGUACUAGCUCACCAUCAGGAUCCCUGCAUUACAUUCUCGUUUGCAUCUCCCAGGCAACCCUGCUGCCAUCCGUUACUGUUUCAUUUGCCGAGGUCAGAGUCGUGGUAGACAAGCGGAAACGGCUUGUCCUAAUUGCAUGACUUAACACUGACGGGGACAGCUUGUCUCCAUUAGCGGCCAGUGGCCCGUGAUCAGGUUGGAGAAACUGAAACUGUUCUUGUUGGACGAGCCUGCUCCACGGGGCACAGCCUUUUCAACUGUGCAGAGAGAGAUUGUAGUGGAUAGCAACCACCCAGGCACUAAAACAUGCGCACGGCGAGUGCAUCCCCAUGUGCAGGCCAUGUUGGUGAUUUGGGCGUUGGCCUUGUAAAUUAUUGAGAGAGAUGUCGCCGUCCCUGUAUAGGCUCACUUUCUGGACUGGUGGUGGGUGAUGAUGGAUAUAGUAUAGUCUUAUUUCCUUCUCGUUCCUAGUAUAAACCUGCUGCCAGAAUCUCGCAAGUACAGAGUUUUAUUGUUUUCUUUAUGGGGGUUCUUGGCUGGCAUCGAUCCCAUGCGCCUAAUUACUCCAUGCAUGCUGUAGUUAGCUGGUUCCAGGCCCAAGUAGUCUAGUAAUUUUAUUUGCAAAAAAAAGUGGUUGGCGUCUUAAUCGGUCUGUGGGAAACUAAGAACUAGCAACUAGCCGUGUUGAAUUCAAAGUUCAGACUAGUUGAAUUUUGUCAAGGUCUCCUGCAUCGUUUUUUUUUUUUUUUUGGGGGGGGGGGGGGGGGGGGGGGGGGGGGGGGGAGUAUAGUGCUCUAGUCCAUCAUUACACUAUAUGGUGGUGGUGAGUAGGCAUUUCAGAUGUCUCAUCGUUUUGAAAGUUCUUUUUGACGCUGCACAAAUCAUACACUAAAAAGUGACGUGAGCUCCAAGUUUCCAUGGCUAUGAAUAGAAUGGAAAUGCAAGGUGAGCCAUGCCCACAUAGACAGGUGAUAGGUCCAGGAUCCCAUCAUUCCAUGGCUAAACGUGUGGUCCAGCCAUGAUUGAGCACAGGCCCUACCUGGCAGCUAGCAACCUGUCCUGUGGCUGUGGCGCACUGGUUCCUCACCUCAUAGAAUUCGUUCUUCAUCAGCAUGUAGAAGAGUAGUUGGUUUGAGCGUGUCCUCUAUUCCCAGCCAUUGCGAAAAGUUAGGGGCAUAAACAUUGGCCAGUGCAUGUUGCUUUAGCCUUCAGAACAUUUGUGUAUUCGCAUCCAUAUCUCACUGGCCAUGCUGAUCCUUGAAAUAUAUGCUAUACUAGACACGUCUCAAAGUGUAUAAAGAGCAGAAGAUGAUUGCAUCACGCCAUGCCCCUUGCCCCCUUUCCAAACCCUGGCCUCCCAAGUGUGAGCUAAUCCAAAUAGGAACGAGGUUCCUUUUCCUAAUCAUCCAUGGACAUCGUGUCCGUCCAUCCAUUGUGGCUGCUCUUGUCACCAAGCUCAAUCUGCAGUGUGGAUUUGGCAGUUUUGAUCCGGCCUUUUGCAUGCAAAUUGUUCUCGGUUCAUGCAUGCAGGCUCGCCUUUUGCGUGUCAACUUGCCCGGAAAUAUUCUUGCUUUACGCUUGCGGCUUCCUCGCCGGGAAUGGGAUCACGUUUUGUUUCUGGCCCGUUGAUCGCCCCGGGAGCCACAUGAAAGUCGGCGUAGAAUAUCCUCGUUUCGAGUAGUAGCAGGGAACCUUCCUGCUUGGCUUUUGUCCAUCCUGCCCCCCUGGUAAAAAGUGGCUCGGAACAGAGACAACCAGGAAAUUUUUCAAAAACAGAGACAGCCAGGUCAAAAGCGGUAGCCUUUUUCGAGCGCAGUGGUACCAGCAUGCAAUCCAGCAGAGCCACCAGAAUCGUGUACUCCACCGAUCAGCGCCGAUCUGCCUACCUGCUUAUCGAUAAGAGCCGUGGGGGGCGUGAGAUGUCCAUUAGCGAUAAGACUGAUUAAGCGUGCUCUUUUCGUUAACCUGAUGCUUGAUUUUUCUUCUCUUUUGUUAAUGAUGCUGAUUUCCCCCUUUUGUCAACGCUAUGCUGCAGUACAUGGUGUUUGCCUGCUCCGACUCCCGUUGCUGCCCGUCGGUGACCCUGGGCCUGCAGCCCGGCGAGGCCUUCACCGUCCGCAACAUCGCCGCCAUGGUCCCACCUUACGACAAGGUAAACACUGUCUGACUGACUGACGCAUGGACAUCUGUGUUUUUUCUUUUGUUUGGCCGGCCAUGACCACUGGUGUGUCUUUGCCUGUCGACUGCUGCGUGCGCAGACCAAGUACACCGGCAUUGGGUCCGCCAUCGAGUACGCCGUCUGCGCCCUCAAGGUGGAGGUCCUCACCGUCAUCGGCCACAGCCGCUGCGGUGGCAUCAAGGCGCUCCUCUCCAUGAAGGACGGCGCACCUGACAACUUGUAAGUAACGGUGGAAUUAAGUUACAGCUUUGGAUCGAGGAACCUAUCCUGCAGCUUGGUGUUUCUGACUCGAGUACUAUCUCUUUAAUCAGCCACUUCGUCGAGGACUGGGUCAGGAUCGGCUUCCUCGCCAAGAAGAAGGUGCUGACCAACCAUGCCUCGGUUCCGUUCGAUGACCAGUGCACCCUCUUGGAGAAGGUAUGUUUGAGCUACUCAAUUACCAUGGCGAUCUUACUUUCCCAUACAGUAGCAGUGUUUGCAGUGCCAAUUGCAUCUACACGUGUGUACUGCCUGGUCUGCAUGAAUAUCGAAUUGGUUUGCUCAUGAAAGGAUCCUGCAUUUCUGAAUAUUUUUGCAGGAGGCCGUCAACGUGUCCCUCUACAACCUCCUGACCUACCCCUGGGUGAAGGAAGGUGUGGCCAACGGGACACUCAAGCUGGUCGGCGGCCACUACGACUUCGUCAACGGGGUGUUCUCCGUGUGGGAGAAAUAAGCCACCCGGUUUAUUCAUCAUACAUACAUACCGAAAUAAUGCAUCCAAUCGAUGUGAAUGCAUGAGUACUUACUACCUAUUUUCGGCCGCUACAUAUAUAUCAGAUCGGCCGAUGUGAAUGUAAUAAGAUAUAGCAUUUUCUACCGCUUUACGACUUCUAUGUACUAUAUGAUGCGUAAUUUGGCCGCCUUGUGGUCAAAAGACAUCAGCUAUGUAUAAGCCGUUUUACUACCAUGGCUAUGUAUAAUUUCAUAAUAUUUUCGUCAAGAGUUUACCUUUUA